UCGGCGGAAUCCGGAGUUAGUUUAGUUAUAUUUGCUAUAUCGCUGGCAGUGGCAGAUAUCUGCGGAAAAACAGGAGAGGUCCAGGACAACGCGGUACCAGCAGCCACAGCACCCAAGCAAACUGUACUGCCGCGUCUUCGAGUUCUUCGCAACACUUUCCUGCAGGAGGUCGUAGGUGAUCGGGUUGCGAGAGUCCCCGUCCUCUUGACUGACAGUCUGUGAAGGAAACGGACGUUUUUUAGGAGCUGUGCCGAAAUUAUUAAGUAUUCGUCAUGAUUACGAUUCCUGCCCUCUUCGGUUUCCUGAGCGACCUGGCUAUGAUAAUUGGCAUAGUGGGUGUAUUUCUUUGGACUUUGAUUAAAGCCAUAUACGUAACUCUGAAAAUAGCCAGAGCGCUGAACAAGACGCCAACAUUUAGCGAUGUAAAAACUCAAUUCAAAGAGAUGUCAGUAGGUAAAGUCAAAACUGUGUUAAAAAAGUUAAAUAAAUCCUAAAAACUAUUUACUUUUAUUAUAAAACUAAAGCACCAUUUAACUUGACGAAAUAUUUAAUAGCAGUCAGUCUA